rnacentral:rRNA from 1 species
CACGUAGGGUGCAAGCGUUGUCCGGAAUUAUUGGGCGUAAAGAGCUCGUAGGCAGUCUGUCGCGUCUGCUGUGAAAAUCAGGGCUCAACCCUGGACCUGCAGUGGGUACGGGCAGACUAGAGUGCGGUAGGGGAGAUCGGAAUUCCUGGUGUAGCGGUGAAAUGCGCAGAUAUCAGGAGGAACACCGGUGGCGAAGGCGGAUCUCUGGGCCGUAACUGACGCUGAGGAGCGAAAGCAUGGGGAGCGAACAGG